AGAAGGAAGAUGAGUUAGAGCAAUCCUUCUCGUUUCAGGGGUCUGUAUUUUAUUUAUGUUUUACUCGAGCCGGAAACCAGGGGGCGACGCCUGACUGUUCGCCGCUCCUACUCCUCACGUCACUACAAGGGGUCGAGGCCUGUUCAUUGGUCCUCUCCCACGCGCCUCACAGUCUCCCACUGCGCUCGCGCUGUGGGACAUUGUUGCGCUCUGGUCCGUAUAAUUGCCAGCAGUUGCUGCCUGUCACCGCUGAGCGCAACCUUGUCCCUUCCGAGCUCUCACCACCUGCGCCCAGAGAGGAGAGGGUUUGCGGCUUUGCGGUUAGAAGGGAUUCCAAUCGCUUAUAAACAUAUCCAAACUCGUUUUACGGCCCAGAGUACGGUCUGUCUUGCAGCUGAAUGAAUCAGUGAGAGGAUCUUGCAGCCCUCUCCCGCCUCUGAGCAGCUCACAUCGUCAUGGAGGUGGAGGCUAAUAAUAAAAGGGCGCCUCUGGCGCGAGGCUAGGAAACGGGGACCCUGCGGGACCUGAACACCCGGCGUCUGCACCCGGCUUCCCAUGCUCAACUUUCUCCAAAG